UGUGGCUCUGUCAUCGCUGUCUUCAUGGAGAGAUAGAUGGUCAUCAGGCGUUCAAACUGCUCCCUGAGGCUGUCAGCAGCAGGGUUAGAACUCUGCUGAGCUUCUCGCCACGCUACCUGCAGGCGGUGAAGGCUUUGGUUUAUCUUUACCAUCUGGUCAUGCAACCUGUGAAAUCCUAAGUGAAGGGUAUACUGCGUCAGAACCAGGUUUUCUGUCACCAGAUUGUAGCUGUUUGCAAACUCUGGCUCUUGUUCAGUCACAGCAGGUAUCAAACACGUUUCUUUUUCCAAACCUUUCAUAUGUACAUUCUUACUCCUCCGCUCCUCUUCAUUCAGCUCCUUCAGGGCACAGUAAGUGGGGUUAAAGGUUAGCAGCUUAGGAGAUUUUGGUUUGCAGAAGGGCUGACACAGCUUCAGG
rnacentral:lncRNA from 1 species